rnacentral:rRNA from 1 species
CAACAGGGAUUGCCCUAGUAACGGCGAGUGAAGCGGCAACAGCUCAAAUUUGAAAUCUGGCCUCGGCCCGAGUUGUAAUUUGCAGAGGAAGCUUUAGGCGCGGCACCAUCUGAGUCCCCUGGAACGGGGCGCCAUAGAGGGUGAGAGCCCCGUAUAGUUGGAUGCCUAGCCUGUGUAAAGCUCCUUCGACGAGUCGAGUAGUUUGGGAAUGCUGCUCAAAAUGGGAGGUAAAUUUCUUCUAAAGCUAAAUACCGGCCAGAGACCGAUAGCGCACAAGUAGAGUGAUCGAAAGAUGAAAAGCACUUUGAAAAGAGGGUUAAAUAGCACGUGAAAUUGUUGAAAGGGAAGCGCUUGUGACCAGACUUGCGCCGGGCCGAUCAUCCGGUGUUCUCACCGGUGCACUCGGCCCGGCUCAGGCCAGCAUCGGUUCUCGCGGGGGGAUAAAGGCCCUGGGAACGUAGCUCCUCCGGGAGUGUUAUAGCCCAGGGCGUAAUGCCCUCGCGGGGACCGAGGUUCGCGCAUCUGCAAGGAUGCUGGCGUAAUGGUCAUCAGCGA